rnacentral:rRNA from 1 species
AGUGAACGCUGGCGGUAGGCCUAACACAUGCAAGUCGAACGGCAGCACAGGAGAGCUUGCUCUCUGGGUGGCGAGUGGCGGACGGGUGAGGAAUACAUCGGAAUCUACUUUUUCGUGGGGGAUAACGUAGGGAAACUUACGCUAAUACCGCAUACGACCUACGGGUGAAAGCAGGGGAUCUUCGGACCUUGCGCGAUUGAAUGAGCCGAUGUCGGAUUAGCUAGUUGGCGGGGUAAAGGCCCACCAAGGCGACGAUCCGUAGCUGGUCUGAGAGGAUGAUCAGCCACACUGGAACUGAGACACGGUCCAGACUCCUACGGGAGGAAGCAGUGGGGAAUAUUGUACAAUGGGCGCAAGCCUGAUCCAGCCAUACCGCGUGGGUGAAGAAGGCCUUCGGGUUGUAAGGCCCUUUUGUUGGGAAAGAAAUCCAGCUGGUUAAUACCCGGUUGGGAUGACGGUACCCAAAGAAUAAGCACCGGCUAACUUCGUGCCAGCAGCAGCCGCCG